AUGCUUACCUGGCAGAGGAGAUGCCAGAUACCUGGUUUUUCCAGGGCAAGGCUUAUCCAUAGUAUUCCUGAUGUGCUGACCCCUGCCAUUUCCCCAAAUGUGGGAAAUUCUACUGCAUAAUUUGUGGUAGUAGGGGACUGCAUUCGAGCUCUCCCCUG